CUACGGGGGGCUGCAGCGGGAAAUAUUGCACAAUGGGCGCAAGCCUGAUGCAGCCAUGCCGCGUGUAUGAAGAAGGCCUUCGGGUUGUAAAGUACUUUCAGCGGGGAGGAAGGGAGUAAAGUUAAUACCUUUGCUCAUUGACGUUACCCGCAGAAGAAGCACCGGCUAACUCCGUGCCAGCAGCCGCGGUAAUACGGAGGGUGCAAGGUUAAUCGGAAUUACUGGGCGUAAAGCGCACGCAGGCGGUUUGUUAAGUCAGAUGUGAAAUCCCCGGGCUCAACCUGGGAACUGCAUCUGUGACUGGCAAGCUUGAGUCUCGUAGAGGGGGGUAGAAUUCCAGGUGUAGCGGUGAAAUGCGUAGAGAUCUGGAGGAAUACCGGUGGCGAAGGCGGCCCCCUGGACGAAGACUGACGCUCAGGUGCGAAAGCGUGGGGAGCAAACAGGAUUAGAUACCCGUGUAGUC
rnacentral:rRNA from 1 species